UUGUUGCAGUUCAACGGGCCCUUGAGAACCCUGUUGCAUGGAACUGAGGCUACUAACCCACCACCAGUGUUUCCAUAGCUGACACACUCUACUACCUGGAAACACAGCUCAGAAAAGAGCUAGAUCUCAGGAAAGGUUUCAGUUCUUGGUUUCAGAGGCCCUCAUGGCUAUGUGUUUUCCACUGCAAACCUGCCAAAAUGAGAACAAGUCCCAUGAAUCAACUGUUGCUGAAGAGGCCAGAAUCUAUCAGCAUUCAGAGAAGGCUUUCCUUCUCAUCAUGAUUUGUUUUCAUAGCUACUGUGUGAGAUCAGUUAGCGAAAGAUGGAGAAGCUCUAUACAGUCAACAAAAACAAG